GGUGUUCUGAGAGGAAGGUCCCCCACACUGGUACUGAGACACGGACCAGACUCCUACGGGAGGCAGCAGUGAGGAAUAUUGGUCAAUGGACGCAAGUCUGAACCAGCCAUGUCGCGUGAAGGAAGACGGUUCUAUGGAUUGUAAACUUCUUUUAUACGGGAAGAAACGUAUCUACGUGUAGAUAUUUGCCGGUACCGUAUGAAUAAGCACCGGCUAACUCCGUGCCAGCAGCCGCGGUAAUACGGAGGGUGCGAGCGUUAUCCGGAUUUAUUGGGUUUAAAGGGUGCGUAGGCGGAAUAAUAAGUCAGUGGUGAAAUCUUGCAGCUUAACUGUAAAACUGCCAUUGAUACUGUUAUUCUUGAAUUUAGUUGAGGUAGGCGGAAUGUGUUGUGUAGCGGUGAAAUGCAUAGAUAUAACACAGAACACCGAUUGCGAAGGCAGCUUACUAAGCUAUAAUUGACGCUGAUGCACGAAAGCGUGGGUAGCGAACAGGAUUAGAUACCCUGGUAGUCCACGCCGUAAACGAUGAUUACUCGUUGUUGGCAAUACAUAGUCAGCGACUGAGCGAAAGCAUUAAGUAAUCCACCUGGGGAGUACGUUGGCAACAAUGAAACUCAAAGGAAUUGACGGGGGCCCGCACAAGCGGAGGAACAUGUGGUUUAAUUCGAUGAUACGCGAGGAACCUUACCUGGACUUAAAUGUGGAUUGACAGGCUUAGAGAUAGGCUUUUCUUCGGACAAUUUACAAGGUGCUGCAUGGUUGUCGUCAGCUCGUGCCGUGAGGUGUCGGGUUAAGUCCCAUAACGAGCGCAACCCCUAUCUUUAGUUACCAGCAUGUAGUGGUGGGGACUCUAAAGAGACUGCCGGUGUAAACCGUGAGGAAGGUGGGGAUGACGUCAAAUCAGCACGGCCCUUACGUCCAGGGCUACACACGUGUUACAAUGGUCGGUACAAAGGGCAGCUACCUAGCGAUAGGAUGCUAAUCUCUAAAACCGAUCUCAGUUCGGAUCGGAGUCUGCAACUCGACUCCGUGAAGCUGGAUUCGCUAGUAAUCGCAUAUCAGCCAUGAUGCGGUGAAUACGUUCCCGGGCCUUGUACACACCGCCCGUCAAACCAUGGAAGUUGGGGGUACCUGAAGUCUGUUACCGUAAGGAGCGGCCUAGGGUAAAACUAAUAACUAGGGUUAAGUCGUAACAAGGUA
rnacentral:rRNA from 1 species